CUUCACCGACCCCAACAACAACGGCUCGCGCCCGUCCCGGCCCUGCCCGUACGUCGCCAGCAGCGCCUGCGCCUC
rfam:Micromonospora nigra strain DSM 43818 genome assembly, contig: Ga0070616_13